rnacentral:rRNA from 1 species
GAUGAACGCUAGCGGCAGGCCUAACACAUGCAAGUCGAGGGGUAGAAGGCUUCGGCCUUUGAGACCCGCGCACGGGCGCGUAACGCGUAUGCAAUCUGCCUUACACUGGGGGAUAGCCCAGAGAAAUUUGGAUUAAUACCCCAUAGUAUUUUUGCCUGGCAUCAGGUGAUUAUUAAAGGUUACGGUAAAAGAUGAGCAUGCGUCCCAUUAGCUAGUUGGUAUGGUAACGGCAUACCAAGGCUACGAUGGGUAGGGGUCCUGAGAGGGAGAUCCCCCACACUGGUACUGAGACACGGACCAGACUCCUACGGGAGGCAGCAGUGAGGAAUAUUGGUCAAUGGGCGCAAGCCUGAACCAGCCAUGCCGCGUGCAGGAUGAAGCAUCUAUGGUGUGUAAACUGCUUUUGUACGGGAAGAAACACUGCUACGUGUAGCAGCUUGACGGUACCGUAAGAAUAAGGAUCGGCUAACUCCGUGCCAGCCGCCGCCGUAA